AAAAAACCCAAAUUCCAUCCCACAAUGCUCGAAUCAUCUGGAGUCCAAUGAAUGCGUGUUACCCAUUGCUCUGAAGGCAGGAGGCAAUACUAACACCUUUCCUGCAGGGUUGUUGCCCUGAAGGUGAAACGUGGCAGUUAAAAAGGGGGGGGUGGGGCAAAAUUCCGCUCGCAGUCACUGCGAGUAACUCCUCCCAGAUGGAUGCUGUGCGGACGGCAAUUGUAAACUCUGGACAAAAGAGUCUUUCAAGCAGCAGAAGUUUAACAUUUUGAUGAAGUUCAAUAUGUCAAACUUUUCUCUUGUGGAUCAUGCAUUUUCUGUCUUAUCUAAGAAAUUUUUGCUUCACUCAAGAAUAAUUAUGUGGAGUACCAUCCAGGUCAAUCUCCAAUUACAACCCCAUUCUUCUCUCCAAGAGCACUGACCAUCUCGAUUUUGCAGUAAUGAUUCUCUUGCUCUCAUUUAAAGACUUACUAUUGUGCUGUAUCUGGACAUAUGGGAUGCUUCCAACAGCAUUACAAACAACGCUCCUCUGAACAAUCUUGACUGUAUCUCCUGCUGCAGGUCUUCAGCUUUAAUAAUGUCACACUGUUUUCCACGGUGCUUGCGCCCCUUCGUAUUCCCACCAGCAGUAAACGAGUGCCGAUAGCUCUACAUUUCAACCAACACGUGGAAUUACAAUGCGUUUUAAUUUCUGUUGCCAAUUUUGUGCAUGUAUGAUAGAGAUCUACUUUCCAUCGUGUGGGAUCCUGGAUUUUGUUUCAUGUCCAUGUUCAAUUGUAAAAAUUACACUAUAUGUUUUUAAAAAGCAAAUUUGUCUUUACAAGACCAUUUUAAAAUCUUUGCAUACAAAUAUGUUAGGUGCUUACAGAUUUUUUUCUUCUGAAAAAUUUCCUUAUAAAAAUAGAAUGUGCUAUUCAUCAGCAUGUCCUAUUUUUGGGGCAAAUAUGGAUGGAUGGCAGAGCUAGAAUUUUAACCUGUGUGUCUCUCUUACUCCAGGCUCUUUCUCUUGUCUUUAGGAGAGCAUGGUGGCAGGCAGCUGGUCUUUUCUUGUUUUAUUUUGAUAUAAUUUUAAGCAACUUGCUCUAGUGGGAGCUCCUGAUGGCUGCCCCCUAGUGGACUCCAGCGAGACUGCGCUCACCGGAUUGUAAGACGCUCCCCCUGCCUCACUCUGCUCAUUCCCGCUGAAGGGCAAGGCCUCUGCUCUGUGUUAGCACACUGCUUCCAGCAGAGUGUAAACAAAUCGAUAAUCCCGUGUGGCCACGGGGUAAAGAAGUGACAUUCUUACCCCUGCAGAAGGAGUACACUCUUGGGGACCGAGAUCAAGGUUGCUGGAAGGAUAACUUGUAAACUUGGAUUUACUGAUGGCCAUUGGGGAGACCCAGCUUGGAACGGAGUUUGUCCAGUGGAGUUCCCCUAGAAGCAGAUCCUGCGACAAGGAUGAAGAUUAGCCCUGAGCUAACUACUGCCAAUCCUCCUCUCCCUGCUGAGGAAGACCGGCCCCAAGCCAACAUCCUCCGUGCCCAUCUUCCUCCACUCCAUACAUGGGAUGCCCACCACAGCAUGACACCAAGCGGUGCCAUGUCUGCACCCGGGAUCCAAACUGGUGAACCCCAGGCCGCCGAGAAGCGGAACGUGAGAAUGCAACCGCUGCGCCACUGGGCCGGCCCCUCACUUCUCUUGAAUCGAUGGAACCUGAGUUCGAGCCCUGGUCAACUCUGCCAUUUCCUGUCCAGACUGAUCCCUGGGACCAAGUAUUGGAGAAAAAGGCAAGUCUGCAGUUUACUAAAGCUGUGGACAUCACUUAACAGUUCCGAGGCAGCAGUUCUGAUCAGCAGGAUGGCUCUAAUCUGCAUGAUUUUCCUGGGACCCAAGUUCCUUCCAUCAUGAUGCUUUGCCAUGUUAGGCCACUAACCCUGUAUGCACAGUCAAGGAUUCCAGCCAGUGAGAAAGGGAAAGGACACAGAGGAGCCACGCCCAGGCUCAAGGUCUGGGCACAGAUCACUUCCACUUGAGUCCAUUGGCAAGAACUGAAAUGUCAUAACACCUAACCGCAAGGGAGGCAGGGGACGUGUAGCUCAGCCACGCACCCGGAAAGAAGGAGAGAACGGGUCUGCAGGAGAGCUCAUGGCGUCCAGGGACCCUCCAAGCAAGAGGCAAACCCACCUGGGCAUCUGUCUGCGCACAGUGAGGUUCAUCAGACACCCGUAGACCAAUGGAUUGAAGAGGAACCCAGCAGGAAUCUGUAUAUUUCUGAACUUCCAGUAUUUGCCUUAGAAAGGGCAAUGAACUUUUGAAUAUAUAUAUCAUAGGCUUUGGAGACAAAAGUUUUGUAUAUAUAUAAAAUUAUAUAUACAU
rnacentral:lncRNA from 1 species